UUGAGAAAUGCCAAGCAGCAGCUCUGAUGCAUCAAAUGGAGCCAGGGCUGUGCUAUGCAGAGAUAAGAUAACGGGGACCCUGAGUCAUUGCUUUGAGACUACUCCACAGCUGAUAACAGUGCGAGCAAAGGACCGAGAGAGGGAAUAACAAGUGCUCGUGGGUUUUAAAAAAGGAAGUCUGAGCGGUUACGUGCCAGGAUGAUGCUCAGCUGCACAGAGAGGCUACGGCAGAACACAGUCAUUGAGCAGUCCGCUACCUCUUCAGCUCCGUAGACUCCACGGCGCUGGUGCCAGGCUGUGGGGACGUUUCUAAAGGUGGAGCCUCUGUUUGUAGAGCAUUUUUCCCAAGAUGAGGAAAACUAGUCUGUGGAGACACAUUAAUAACUUUGCAAACAUGGGCCCAUCAAAGUGCAUCGGAGGAGGACCCGCUGCCCUGGUGCCGGCCAGCCAAUCAGUGGAGACCAUGUCCUGAAAGGACACACCUGGGAAGCUGCUGACUCUGCUGUAGAGAGCGGCAACACCGCGGGAACCCUUUAACCUGGUGGAGAAACACAUGGACAUCGAGGGCACCACAAUGAAGACUUUAGUCUCAGGGGUUUCUUCAACACCAAACUUUUUCCUUUUGCUUGUUCACUAUUAAACUUUGGA